rnacentral:rRNA from 1 species
GACGAACGCUGGCGGCGUGCUUAACACAUGCAAGUCGAACGAAGAGCGAUGGAAGCUUGCUUCUAUCAAUCUUAGUGGCGAACGGGUGAGUAACGCGUAAUCAACCUGCCCUUCAGAGGGGGACAACAGUUGGAAACGACUGCUAAUGCCGCAUACGAUCUGACCUCGGCAUCGAGGAUAGAUGAAAGGUGGCCUCUAUUUAUAAGCUAUCACUGAAGGAGGGGAUUGCGUCUGAUUAGCUAGUUGGAGGGGUAACGGCCCACCAAGGCGAUGAUCAGUAGCCGGUCUGAGAGGAUGAACGGCCACAUUGGGACUGAGACACGGCCCAGACUCCUACGGGAGGCAGCAGUGGGGAAUCUUCCGCAAUGGACGAAAGUCUGACGGAGCAACGCCGCGUGAGUGAUGACGGCCGUCGGGUUGUAAAGCUCUGUUAAUCGGGACGAAAGGCCUUCUUGCGAAUAGUUAGAAGGAUUGACGGUACCGGAAUAGAAAGCCACGGCUAACUACGUG